UCUGGGAUCAGACCUUCACAUAAGUUGUGAAAACAUCUCCUAACCCAAAAUAACCCCCUCCCCCUAAUUAAAUCCAUAUCCUUCUGCCCUUUUUUUCAUUUCAAAUCUCAAUUUGACCACAUUCUCAAAAUGGUCCUCAAUACUCUUUAAAUUGUCCCAAACACCAACAAUAUGAGUUUUGAAACUAGUAACUAUAACAACUGAACCCCUAGAACUUCAUUUAUUUAUCAUCUAAACCCCCCAACCCCCUUUUCUUCCAGGAUGGAGAAGAAAAG